AUUCGAGUUUCCCAGUUUGGGAAUAACACAGCUUCUUCGUCGUUCCAAUCAAACCAGGAUGAAUCACUUUGUGAAAAGCUUGAUUUGGAUACACAAAGUGGUGGAGAAUCACCAGGAAGUUGAAUAAAUCUCAUAGGAGUUGGCAUGAAGAAGUUAUCCCACUUUCAAAUCGGGUGAUUCCAGUUUCCCAGUUCGGGAAUAGCACAGCUUCUUCUUCGUUCCAAUCAAACCAGGAUGAAUCAAUUUGUGAAAAGCUUGAUUUGGAUACAUAAACUGGUGGAGAAUCACCUGGAAGUUGAAUAAAUCUCAUAGGAGUUGGCUUGAAGAAUUUAUCCCACUUUCAAAUCAGGUGAUUCUAGUUUCUCAGUUUGGGAAUAGCACAGCUUCUUCGUCGUUCCAAUCAAACCAGGAUGAAUCACUUUGUAAGAAGCUUGAUUUGGAUACAUAAAGUGGUGGAGAAUCACCAGGAAGUUGAAUAAAUCUCAUAGAAGUUGGCAUGAAGAAUUUAUCCCACUUUCAAAUUAGGUGAUUCCAGUUUCCCAGUUUGGGAAUAGGACAGCUUGUUCGUCGUUCCAAUCAAGCCCGGAUGAAUCACUUGGUGAGAAGCUUGAUUUGGAUACAUAAAGUGGUGUAGAAUCACCAGGAAGUUGAAUAAAUCUCAUAGGAGUGGGGAUAAAGAAGUUAUCCCACUUUCAAAUAAGGUGAUUCAUGUUUCCCACUUUGGGAAUAGGAUAGCUUUUUCGUCGUUCAAAUCAAACCAGGAUGAAUCACCUUGUAAGAAGCUUGAUUUGGAUACAUAAAGUUGUGGAGAAUCAUCAGGAAGUUGAAUAAAUCUCAUAGGAGUUGGCAAGAAGAAGUUAUCCCACUUUCAAAUCAGGUGAUUCCAGUUUCCCAGUUUGGGAAUAGCACAGCUUCUUCGUCGUUCCAAUCAAACCAUGAUGAAUCACUUUGUGAGAAGCUUUAUUUGGAUACAUAAAGUGGUGGAGAAUCACCAGGAAGUUUAAUAAAUCUCGUAGGAGUUUGGAUGAAGAAGUUAUCUCACUUUCAAAUCAGGUGAUUCCAGUUUCCUAGUUUGGGAAUAGCACAGCUUCUUCGUCGUUCCAAUCAAACCAGGAUGAAUCACUUUGUAAGAAGCUUGAUUUGGAUACAUAAUGUUGUGGAGAAUCAUCAGGAAGAUGAAUAAAUCUCAUAGGAGUUGGCAAGAAGAAGUUAUCCCACUUUCAAAUCAUGUGAUUCCAGUUUCCCAGUUUGGGAAUAGCACAGCUUCUUCGUCGUUCCAGUCAAACCAUGAUGAAUCACUUUGUGAGAAGCUUGAUUUGGAUACAUAAAGUGGUGGAGAAUCACCAGGAAGUUGAAUAAAUCUCAUAGGAGUUGGCAAGAAGAAGUUAUCCCACUUUCAAAUCAGGUGAUUCCAGUUUCCCAGUUUGGGAAUAGCACAGCUUCUUCGUCGUUCCAAUCAAACCAUGAUGAAUCACUUUGUGAAAAGCUUGAUUUGGAUACAUAAAGUGGUGGAGAAUCACCAGGAAGUUUAAUAAACCCAUAGGAGUUGGGAUGAAGAAGUUAUCCCACUUUCAAAUAACGUGAUUCCAGUUUCCCAGUUUGGGAAUAGCACAGCUUGUUCGUCGUUCCAAUCAAACCAGGAUGAAUCACUUUUUGAGAAGCUUGAUUUGGAUACAUAAAGUGGUGGAGAAUCACCAGGAAGUUGAAUAAAUCUCAUAGGAGCUGGCAAGAAGAAGUUAUCCCACUUUCAAAUCAGGUGAUUCCAGUUUCCCAGUUUCGGAAUAACACAGCUUCUUCGUCGGUCCAAUCAAACCAGGAUUAAUCACUUUGCGAGAAGCUUGAUUUGGAUACAUAAAGUGGUGGAGAAUCACCAGGAAGUUGAAUAAAUCUCAUAGGAGCUGGCAAGAAGAAGUUAUCCCACUUUCAAAUCAGGUGAUUCCAGUUUCCUAGUUUGGGAAUAGCACAGCUUCUUCGUCGUUCCAAUCAAACCAGGAUGAAUCACUUUGUAAGAAGCUUGAUUUGGAUACAUAAAGUGGUGGAGAAUCACCAGGAAGUUGAAUAAAUCUCAUAGGAGUUGGCAUGAAGAAUUUAUCCCACUUUCAAAUCAGGUGAUUCCAGUUUCCAAGUUUGGGAAUAGCAUAGCUUAUUCGUCGUUCCAAUAAAACCAGGAUGAAUCACUUUGUGAGAGGCUUGAUUUGGAUACAUAAAGUGGUGGAGAAUCACCAGGAAGUUGAAUAAAUCUCAUAGGAGCUGGCAUGAAGAAUUUAUCCCACUUUCAAAUCAGGUGAUUCCAGUUUCCUAGUUUGGGAAUAGCACAGCUUCUUCGUCGUUCCAAUCAAACCAGGAUGAAUCACUUUGUAAGAAGCUUGAUUUGGAUACAUAAAGUGGUGGAGAAUCACCAGGAAGUUGAAUAAAUCUCAUAGGAGUUGGCAUGAAGAAUUUAUCCCACUUUCAAAUCAGGUGAUUCCAGUUUCCAAGUUUGGGAAUAGCAUAGCUUAUUCGUCGUUCCAAUAAAACCAGGAUGAAUCACUUUGUGAGAAGCUUGAUUUGGACGGAAUGAAGAAGUUAUCUCACUUUCAAAUCAGGUGAUUCCAGUUUCCCAGUUUGAGAAUAGCACAUCUUCUUCGUCGUUCCAAUCUAACCAGGAUGAAUCACUUUGUGAGAAGCUUCAUUUGGAUACAUAAAGUGGUGGAGAAUCACCAGGAAGUUGAAUAAAUCUCAUAGGAGUCGGAAUGAAGAAGUUAUCCCACUUUCAAAUCAAGUGCUUCCAGUUUCCCAGUUUGGGAAUUGGACAGCUUCUUCGUCGUUCCAAUCAAACCAGGAUGAAUCUCUUUGUGAGAAGCUUGAUUUGGAUACAUAAAGUGGUGGAGAAUCACCAGGAAGUUGAAUAAAUUUCAUAGGAGUUGGGAUGAAGAAGUUAUCCCACUUUCAAAUCAGGUGCUUCCUGUUUCCCAGUUUGGGAAUAACACAGCUUCUUCGU
rnacentral:lncRNA from 1 species